UUUUAGUCUAUGCCUUCCUUGGUGACUAGUUUGUAACCAAGGAAGUGGCCAGAUUACUCAGUAUUCCCCAUGAUUUUUACAUAAGCCAGGGGUAUAGAGAAGAAGGGAGAAGAGGCCUUUGCCCUCUUCCCUUCUGGUGGCUCCGGAGGUGCAAGUUCCCUGCUGUUGGUUCUGCCGUGUGGGGAAGUGGGGCCUAGCGAGGCCUGGUAGGACCCUGGGAGGCGGAAGGUGCCAGCGGUUGUCCAGCGCGAUUGUACUGUCCCAAGGAGAGUAAACUACAUCAAACAUAAAUCAAGUUCUAUCUCAGAGACUGCAUGAAAAUCAAAUCAUGCAUGGAUCUUGUUUUAUUUGCUGAGAACAGGCAUCUCCAGACUAUGUUUAGAGCUUCUAGGGGAUGCAACUGAAGAGGUAUAAAUUAAGGAAAUCAGAGAAGUCCCUCAAGCGGAGUGCAUUAAAGGUGGCAGAACAAAGAUCUUGAAGAGACCUCAUCAAACACAGACAAUAUUCAGCAUUAAUUCAGUGUCCAUGCAGAUGGACAGGAAAUAAGGCCUGAGCGACAACUUUAUUUGAAUCACAGAAUGGGUCAGGUUGAGAGGGAUCACAGUGGAUCAUCUGGUCCAACCUCCCUGCUCAAGCAGGGUCAUCCUUGAGCACCUGGCACAGAAUUGCAUCCAGACGGCUCUUGAAUAUCUCCGGUGAGGGAGACUCCACAACUUCUAUGGGGAACCUGUUCCGGUGCCUGGUCACUGCACAGUAAAGAAAUUCUUCCUCAUAUUCAGAUGGAAUUUCCCAUUCAUCAGGUUCUGCCUGUUGCCUAAUAAGUCUAAUAAGACUGACACAGAGGCAGAAACUGUGACAAUUAAGACCAAGGACAUCAAUUUCUCACUAUUGACUGAUGCAGAAGAUUUUAAGCAUGGACCUGAUAUGCAGGUGGUAAUAGGCUUGAAGAAUAUGAGGAUUAUCUGGCUGCCUCAGUAACUUGCAGAAAUAGAAGCUGGCAAGAAAGAUAAAAUCUUAUCUUUGGUUUAUCAUCCCUAGGAUGUUCACCUCAUCCACUUUUUGUAAAGAGUCAGACAGAAAUCAGCCUAGAGGUACACAGAGAUGGCUGAAGCUCUCUUCUAAAACAAAACAAAAGCUAUCAGCAAAACUAUGCAGCUAACUUAUCAGGUAUUCUGAUUCUGGCUUAUACCUUAGGAUGGGCCUUCCAGAGAGAAAGUUAAUGACAGACAGGUAAUAUUGGAGAUAUAACUAGCACCUUUUGGCAUCUGGAAGGGUGCUGUGGUGUAUUUUGGUUUUCUUAACGAAAGAGGGCCUUUCUUCUAGCUGCUACUAUAAUGAUUGGUGAAAUGUGGAAGCUCACUAAAGGUUCAUGCAUUACACUAGAAUUUAUUUUACUGAUUAAAGUAGCAAGUGGCAAGAUAGUUAAGAGCAAGAAGAUUGGUGUUUGUGCAGAAGCAUAUGAGAGACACAAAUAAGGCGAUCUGCAUAAUACACUCUAGUGGAAGUUCCUUUUCAAUUUAGCUCUUCUACAUGGAAAGUUCAUUAUGGUAUUUCUUUUAUAACUUACAUCUCUUCCAGAGUAGCAGAAUAAAACAAUUGAUGGUGCAGUAGUAGACAUCUUUUUUUACAUCUUCAUGUGAGAG